CCACAGCUCCUCGCUGCAGCCCUUGCCACAGCCACCUCCUCUUUUUUUCUUCUUCUUCUUCUUCUUCUUCUUCUUCUUCUACUUCUUCUUCUUCUUCUGCUUCUCUUCUUCUCCUCCCCGAUGCCCCACACAUGAACUCCUCUGUUUCCUCCUACACGAAACAGAGGUUCUGUAGCCCUAGCUGCUGCAGCUAUCUCUCUUUCCUCUCCCUCUUCCCUCUCUUCUUCUUCUUCUUUUCUUCUCUUCUCCCUCUUCUUCCUCUCUUCUUUUCCCUCUUCUUCUUCUUUUCUUCUCUUCUCCCUCUACUUCUCUUCUUCUUCUCCCCAUGCCCCACCGCUCCUCUCUCUU
rnacentral:lncRNA from 1 species